GAGUUUGAUCGUGGCUCAGAUUGAACGCUGGCGGCAGGCCUAACACAUGCAAGUCGAGCGGAUGACGGGAGCUUGCUCCUUGAUUCAGCGGCGGACGGGUGAGUAAUGCCUAGGAAUCUGCCUGGUAGUGGGGGACAACGUUUCGAAAGGAACGCUAAUACCGCAUACGUCCUACGGGAGAAAGCAGGGGACCUUCGGGCCUUGCGCUAUCAGAUGAGCCUAGGUCGGAUUAGCUAGUUGGUGGGGUAAUGGCUCACCAAGGCGACGAUCCGUAACUGGUCUGAGAGGAUGAUCAGUCACACUGGAACUGAGACACGGUCCAGACUCCUACGGGAGGCAGCAGUGGGGAAUAUUGGACAAUGGGCGAAAGCCUGAUCCAGCCAUGCCGCGUGUGUGAAGAAGGUCUUCGGAUUGUAAAGCACUUUAAGUUGGGAGGAAGGGCAGUAAGUUAAUACCUUGCUGUUUUGACGUUACCGACAGAAUAAGCACCGGCUAACUCUGUGCCAGCCGCCGUACGG
rnacentral:rRNA from 1 species